rnacentral:lncRNA from 1 species
UGAAGGAAGUCGAACAGGGACCUUGCAUCGACCGCUACUUCUUGCGAAGGAAGUCGAAUCAGUCAAGAGGAAGAGGAGCCAAGCACUGCAGAGCCCCUUGAGCCCAGCCUACCUCAGCUUGCAACUGAAACAAAAAUCCUGGGGCGAAAGCCACCAAUUAAGUGGCCCAAAUCCUGUGAGAAAAAGGUAUGGGAUUCUGUCAACACAGACAUCAGCAAACUCCUUGAACAACUGAGGGGAACUGCUUUUAAGAAGCUGGAGAAGAUGGGAGAGCUGAUUUACAAAUAUGGUGCUGAGCGCUUUGGAUUCACAGAGGAAAGGAAGAAAUCAUCAACCAUCCCAACAAAGUCCAGGAGACAGCAGGAGAUAGACAGACUGGUCAAGGAGAGAAGACUAUUGAAGCAGCAGUGGAGAAAAGCUCUAGAGGAGGAGAAGGAGGGAAUAAACCUGCUGCAGGCAGAAAACACGAGCAGACUGUCAACCUUGAGGAGAGCUGAGAAUCUCAGAAGGAGGCGUAAGAGUAAGGAGCAUGCAAGAUCGAGCUUCUUCAAAGACCCCUUCAAGUUUGUAAAGAGUCUUUUCACGAAAGAGAAAAGCGGCAAACUUAAAACAUCAAGGAAAGAUCUCGAAGCUCAUCUGAAAAGAACCCACACUGACAGCCAUCGGGGCAAACAGCGCACCCUUCCAUCGGAUAUGCCACCAAUACACCCUCCAGAACACCAGCUAGACGUUGACCCUCCCAAGUGGAGUGAAGUGGAAAGAACUGUACGUCGAGGAAGAGCGGCAUCCUCCCCUGGGCCCAACGGAGUCCCUUAUAGGCUUUAUAAAAACGCACCAGAGGUUCUACGCUUUCUUUGGAGACUGAUGAAGGUGGUGUGGCAGAAACAUAUGAUACCAACUGCCUGGCGAAGAGCAGGAGGCAUCCUAAUCCCUAAGGAGAAGGACGCUGAGGACAUCAGCCAGUUUCGCCACAUCAGCCUCUUAAACGUUGAAGGCAAGAUCUUUUUCAGCGUUUUACAGGCUGGCUGUCUACCUAGAGAGAAACAAGUACAUCGACACAACAGUGCAGAAAGCAGGGAUUCCAGGCUUCUCGGGUUGCUUGGAG